CCACCUACUGUAUUAAUCGAAGAGGCAAAGCAUCGCCAACACAGGUACACCCCUGCAUACCAAGGGUUGUACAAAAUAAGGAGAAGGAGAUGGGAAAAGGAAAAGAUAAAACAGAGGAGAGGGUACAAGGCCAACAUUAGUCCAUCUGACAGAGGCAAGCUGCUCCCUACUGAAUAAAGCUGCAUCCAAAUAUCUAUACUCCAUCAAUCUCCAUUCCAUAGGUGACUGUAAAUUAAAGCUCACAGUCGAGUCCGACAGACGACGGGCGUGGUUGCAUCACCUAUGGAGCAUAUCCAGGAUACGAUCGACGAGCCUCCAACACCAUUUCAGAGGAGGAAUCCUCAAAGGGGGAGGGCCGAAGAGAGGAAAAAGAGGAGAACCAAGAGAGCGGAUCAUGGUCUCGUAACCUAGCAUUUGAUGAGGCGAUGCAACCAAGGAUCAUGGAAGAUAACAAGGCAAAGAGACUCUUAGCAGACCACCAGCAAAAAGACGGCCACCGAUCGACGAAUGGAGCCACCACCGAACAACAUACUCGCCGGAGACACCGCAGCCAUUGCACCUCCACACCACCCCUCGUAGCUACGCCGCUCACCCUCCAUCUGAGGGUCAGGCCAACGAAGUGGGGACUAAAUGCGGCGGGAGGGGAGCAAACCAAGGCUCACCAAAAAUGACGAUCUCCCCUUCAAUGCUGACAGAGCCACCCGAAAGCACAUCCGGGCUCUCAAGCACCAUCAUCCAACACUGUGCAAGGGGAGGAAACCUCGCAGAGAAACGGUAGAAGAGUGAAAACACCCGGCAUAAUAUUUGAUGGCACCACUGGCAAGGAGAGCGCCGACGGAGCAGAGGCGCCAAACGGAGGACACCAAACGAAGAAGAUCCACAGCUUGAAUUAGCCUUGCACCAGAACCAACGCCGGGGAUCCUCCGCGACGAUGCCUACAGGUUGGAGAGAGCUAAGUCGACGCCUCCAAGGAGACUUGGAUUUCUCAUUUCUUGAAAUGAACCCGUUCGCCAUGGAAAAUGGGGAGCUAUACCUCUGGACAUGGCAGCUUUCAAGAACUUCAAGAAGCGAGUUUCGUGCUUCCUGCGGACAUGAUAUUUUUUUCAUGGGAUUUUUGAAUUAACUCUUAUUUAUCAAUUGGUCAGGUAAGGAAAUAUAGUCCCUGCCAUAAGGAAGAGAGCGCAACUGGAAGUUUUAUCCAUGAACUAGAUGAGAAGGCGUCGCCACUUGGAUUGCACUUUUGAUCAUUCAUUCUCUUCUGUCGAAGCACGGGUCACCUGUAAAUUAUCAGCAUUUUUGUUUGCACAUAGAAAAUAUAUAGGAACACUGGUGUUGUGGUAUAUCUUGUUAUUUUUUUAUUUUUUUUGUUGCAUUUCUCAGUGCUGACUGAUGAAGUAGAGAUGACUACAUGAGGAGGUCGACCCCAUCAAUAAUGGAGCCUGUUCGCAUUAGAUGAUAACUGAGCAUCCAAAAAGCCACAACAUAUCGCAUCCAUGAUGCUGUUAAGGGCCACCAUCAUAAAUUGUUUGAAGCAUCUGUUCGAAAAUAACAGGGGGGCAGCAGAGCUCCACAUGUGUUGCCUUACCAUCUGAUUUGAAUAUCAGAUUCCAUCCUACACACGGAUAUAUUUUAAUAUCAAAGACAUAAGCAAGGUGGAGUGAUUGGAGUAGCAAAGUCAUAUGCAGAAAUAGUUAGGUUUCUGCUCCAUUUAUUCAUUGAUGAUCACUACAAAGACAGAGAAAUUCAAUUCAACUUGUUUAUGCGA